GCAUUAAGUAAUCCACCUGGGGAGUACGUCAGCAAUGAUGAAACUCAAAGGAAUUGACGGGGGCCCGCACAAGCGGAGGAACAUGUGGUUUAAUUCGAUGAUACGCGAGGAACCUUACCUGGGCUUAAAUGUAGAGUGCAUGAGGUGGAAACAUCUCUUUCCUUCGGGACUCUUUACAAGGUGCUGCAUGGUUGUCGUCAGCUCGUGCCGUGAGGUGUCGGGUUAAGUCCCAUAACGAGCGCAACCCUCAUCGCCAGUUGCCAUCACGUAAUGGUGGGGACUCUGGUGAAACUGCCGGUGCAAACCGUGAGGAAGGUGAGGAUGACGUCAAAUCAGCACGGCCCUUAUGUCCAGGGCUACACACGUGUUACAAUGGCCGGUACAACGGGCAGCUACCACGCAAGUGGAUGCUAAUCCCCAAAACCGGUCUUAGUUCGGAUCGGAGUCUGCAACUCGACUCCGUGAAGCUGGAUUCGCUAGUAAUCGCACAUCAGCCAUGGUGCGGUGAAUACGUUCCCGGGCCUUGUACACACCGCCCGUCAAGCCAUGGAAGCCGGGGGUGCCUGAAGUCCGUAACCGCAAGGAGCGGCCUAGGGUAAAACCGGUAACUGGGGCUAAGUCGUAACAAGGUAACCAAGGGCGAA
rnacentral:rRNA from 1 species